rnacentral:rRNA from 1 species
UACGGAGGAUGCAAGCGUUAUCCGGAUUCACUGGGUUUAAAGGGUGCGUAGGCGGAACGGUAAGUCAGUGGUGAAAGCCUGCAGCUUAACUGCAGAACUGCCAUUGAUACUAUCGUUCUUGAGUAUGGUUGAGGUGGGCGGAAUGUGUAAUGUAGCGGUGAAAUGCUUAGAUAUUACACAGAACACCGAUUGCGAAGGCAGCUCACUAAGCCAUUACUGACGCUCAGGCACGAAAGCGUGGGGAUCAAAC